ensembl:lncRNA
AGUUUCAUUACACAGUGUUCACUUGAACUCUGAAUUGGUGUCUGGGAACGUGAUAGUAGGUGUUCGUUCGUCUUUGCCAAUUCCUGACGUAACUUUCAUCCUGGGAAACGAUUUAGCUGGAGGCAGUGUGUGGGGUUGUUUAAAUGUGCCCCCUGAAGUUGUAACGUCACCUCUCGUUGCUACUACUGAUGAGUGUGCUGUAAAGCACCCUGAUGGGUUUUCAGCAUGUGCGGUUACAUACUCUAUGGUUAAACCUGACAUUCACAUCUCAGACGAGGUUGAGUUAAGUGGUACGUGGUUUGAAAAUCCUGAUUUAACCAAGUUGUCUUCUGUUGCUCCACAGGGGGAAUUAAAUCUGCAUCCUCUGAGUGCUGAAAAGGUUUUUGAACAUCUUGGUGAUUCGUCUCUGUCUUAUGAUAAACUAAUUGCCACUCAAAGGUCAGAUCCUACGCUUGCGUCAUUAUUUGAAGUGGUUCAUACAGAGCAGAUGUUUGGGAAUGCACCCCAGGGUUACUUUCUCAGAGAUGGGAUAUUGAUGAGAAAGUGGGUGCCUUCUUACUCGUCUGAUAUCUGGAAUGUGGUUGAUCAAAUUGUGAUUCCAGUUGGUUAUCGAGACAUGAUCUUAAGUGUGGCUCAUGAUGGUACGGCUGGUCAUUUGGGUGUAAGGAAAACAUACCAUCGAAUUUUGCGUAACUUUUACUGGCCCGGUUUGAAGAAAGAUGUGUCCCGCUAUUGUCAAACUUGCCAUACUUGUCAAAUGGUUGGGAAGCCUAAUCAAACUAUUCCUCCUGCUUCGUUGUUUCCAGUUCCUGUGGUGGCUGAACCUUUUGAACACAUAAUCAUUGAUUGUGUUGGGCCUCUUCCUCGUUCAAAGUCUGGUUGUAAAUACUUGCUGACCAUAAUGUGCGUGACUACACGUUUUCCUGAGGUGGUAUCUUUACGUACUAUAACGGCGAGAACGAUAUCUAAAGCACUCGUUAAGUUCUUUACAAUGUUCGGUUUACCGAAAGUAGUUCAGAGCAAUCAAGGUACUAAUUUUACAUCUCGU